rnacentral:rRNA from 1 species
GACGAACGCUGGCGGCGUGCUUAACACAUGCAAGUCGAGCGGUAAGGCCCUUUCGGGGGUACACGAGCGGCGAACGGGUGAGUAACACGUGGGUGACCUGCCCUCAGCUCUGGGAUAAGCCUGGGAAACCGGGUCUAAUACUGGAUAUGACUCCAUGACGCAUGUUGUGGGGUGGAAAGCCUUGUGCGGCUGAGGAUGGGCCCGCGGCCUAUCAGCUUGUUGGUGGGGUGANGGCCUACCAAGGCGACGACGGGUAGCCGGCCUGAGAGGGCGACCGGCCACACUGGGACUGAGACACGGCCCAGACUCCUACGGGAGGCAGCAGUGGGGAAUCUUGCGCAAUGGGCGAAAGCCUGACGCAGCGACGCCGCGUGAGGGAUGACGGCCCU